GUUUUGGGGGUGAAAUUAACAGGCAAGUUGGUGAGCUUUGGUGAAGCAAACAACCUUACAUGAUAUGCACUGUGCACUGGAGAGGCAGAGCAUCCUGCCUUCCACAGCCGUGCACACCAGUCCCUGUGCACAAGUGGCCACCCACCCAGCGAAUCGACGUGGUGUGCUUAUCAAAAUCUGUGUGUCUGUGGGCCAGAGCCAAAUCCAGCAGGAUAUUGACGGAUGUCCUUACUGGUAAGGCUGUCUGGGACUCUCAGUGAAAAGACCGGCCAUGUGUGCCUCCAGAUGGUACUAGAUCCAGGUGCUAGAACAAGAUGAGCAAGUGAAUCUCUCAUACUUCAGAUCCUUCAAGGAUCUUGAAAAGAGCGCUGGAAUCAAAGGCGAACGCCACCACUGCCCGGCCUUGUUUUGUUUUUAAAGACAGUUUUCGGCACACAGAGAGGCUGUGAGUUAGGACGGGGGUUUCUUGCCGUUGCCACCAUUCUCAUUGACACGUUAUGCUGCACACAGCAGAGCCCCAUCCUGAAUGCCCAGCGGUGCCCACAGCCAGGAGGAGCAUUCGAUGUGUGAUGACUCAUCUCGUGCAUCAGACGCUCUCUAAAGUUCCCACAGAUUAUACCAUGGCUUAGUGAGUGCGAUUCUAAGACAGUUCCAAAAGACUUUUCAAUCCGUGGGAGUUUCAAAGUGGAUUCUCAGACAAACAUGGGGAGGACUGAGGCAGGCUUGGACACGCACAGAAUCAGACAACGAUGGUCCGGAGUUCAAAUCCCUGCAACCACAUGGUGGCUCACAACCAACUGUAAUGAGAUCUGGCGCCCUCUUCUGGAGUGUCUGAAGACAGAUACAGUGUACUUACAUAUAGUAAAUAAAUAAAUCUUAAAAAAAAAAAAAA
rnacentral:lncRNA from 1 species